UACGAAGGGGGCUAGCGUUGCUCGGAAUCACUGGGCGUAAAGCGCACGUAGGCGGAUUGUUAAGUCAGGGGUGAAAUCCUGGAGCUCAACUCCAGAACUGCCUUUGAUACUGGCGAUCUUGAGUCCGGGAGAGGUGAGUGGAACUGCGAGUGUAGAGGUGAAAUUCGUAGAUAUUCGCAAGAACACCAGUGGCGAAGGCGGCUCACUGGGCCGAUACUGACGCUGAGGAGCGAAAGCGUGGGGAGCGAACAGG
rnacentral:rRNA from 1 species